GCCUCGGGGGUGUAGUGGUAGAGCACGCGUCACCGGACAAGAUGAAAUGCGGGUUUGACUCCCGUCUGAGGUC